AUGUCUCAGACUAAGCCAUGCACGUCUAAGUACAAACUAAAUGAUGGUGAAACUGCAAAUGGCUCAUUACAACGGUUAUGAUGUACCCGGGAGUUCCGAUGGAUAUUUCCAGUAACACUAGAACUAAUACAUGUCCCUGCGUUUAUUAGUUUCGCACAGUCCGUCGCUGAGUCAUGGUAAACAGUUGAUCGACUCGACGUCCCGGAACAGUUUCCGCCCCAUCAGCUUCGAUGGUUGGGUAUUGGCCUACCAUUGCAACAACGGGUAACGAGGAAUUAGGGUUUGAUUUCGGAGAGGGAGCCUGAGAAACGGCUACCACAUCUACGGAUGGCAGCAGGCGCGCAAAUUACCCAAUGCAGACACUGUGAGGUAGUGACGAGAAAUAAUAAAGCGGGACUUCUGUUUCGCUAUUAUAAUGAGGAAUAACCAAAGGUCAUUCCGAUUAGCAACUGAUGGGAAAGUCUGGUGCCAGCAGCCGCGGUAAUACCAGCGUCAGUAGC
rnacentral:rRNA from 1 species